GAUGAACGCUGGCGGCGUGCUUAACACAUGCAAGUCGAACGGAAAGGCCCAAGCUUGCUUGGGUACUCGAGUGGCGAACGGGUGAGUAACACGUGGGUGAUCUGCCCUGCACUUCGGGAUAAGCCUGGGAAACUGGGUCUAAUACCGGAUAGGACCACAUUUUGGAUGGUGUGGUGGAAAGUUUUUCGGUGUGGGAUGAGCUCGCGGCCUAUCAGCUUGUUGGUGGGGUAAUGGCCUACCAAGGCGUCGACGGGUAGCCGGCCUGGGAGGGUGUACGGCCACAUUGGGGCUGAGAUACGGGCCAGACUCCUACGGGGGGCAGCAGUGGGGAAUAUUGCAAAAUGGGCGCGAGCCUGAUGCAGCGACGGCGCGUGGGGGAUGAAGGCCUUCGGGUUGUAAACUCCUUUCGCUAGGGACGAAGCGUUAUGUGACGGUACCUGGAGAAGAAGCACCGGCUAACUACGUG
rnacentral:rRNA from 1 species